UACGUAGGGACCAAGCGUUGUUCGGAUUUACUGGGCGUAAAGGGCGCGUAGGCGGCAAUUCAAGUCAUCUGUGAAAUCUCCGGGCUUAACUCGGAACGGUCAGAUGAUACUGCUUUGCUAGAGUGCGGAAGGGGCAAUCGGAAUUCUUGGUGUAGCGGUGAAAUGCGCAGAUAUCAGGAGGAACACCGGUGGCGAAGGCGGAUCUCUGGGCCUUACCUGACGCUCAGGCGCGAAAGCUAGGGGAGCGAACUGG
rnacentral:rRNA from 1 species